GAUGAAGACCGUGCUUGCACGGUUGGAUUAGUGGCGAACGGGUGAGUAUCACGUGAGUAACCUUCCCUUAACUCUGGGAUAAGCCCGGGAAACUGGGUCUAAUACCGGAUACGACCAGUCCUCGCAUGGGGUGCUGGUGGAAAGAUUUAUCGGUUUUGGAUGGACUCGCGGCCUAUCAGCUUGUUGGUGAGGUAAAGGCUCACCAAGGCGAUGACGGGUAGCCGGCCUGAGAGGGUGACCGGCCACACUGGGACUGAGACACGGCCCAGACUCCUACGGGAGGCAGCAGUGGGGAAUAUUGCACAAUGGGCGAAAGCCUGAUGCAGCGACGCCGCGUGCGGGAUGACGGCCUUCGGGUUGUAAACCGCUUUCAGCAGGGAAGAAGCGAAAGUGACGGUACCUGCAGAAGAAGCGCCGGCUAACUACGUGCCAGCAGCCGCGGUAAUACGUAGGGCGCGAGCGUUAUCCGGAAUUAUUGGGCGUAAAGAGCUCGUAGGCGGUUUGUCACGUCUGCUGUGAAAGCCCGGGGCUCAACCCCGGGUGUGCAGUGGGUACGGGCAGACUAGAGUGCAGUAGGGGAGACUGGAAUUCCUGGUGUAGCGGUGAAAUGCGCAGAUAUCAGGAGGAACACCGAUGGCGAAGGCAGGUCUCUGGGCUGUUACUGACGCUGAGGAGCGAAAGCAUGGGGAGCGAACAGGAUUA
rnacentral:rRNA from 1 species